ensembl:lncRNA
CGUGAAAUUAUUUGUCCUUACCGGUGACAUUGUUCUGUUUGAAACUGCUGCAGCGUUUCUCAUGCUAGAUGUGGCAAAACAAAGUUUUGAUAAUCCUAGGUUAGGGUAUUUUUUCGUUUAGGGUUUAACAUUACUACUACCCUCUUGAUUCAACACAAUGGGGGAGUAUCGCCAACAAAAAAUCCCAUGAUGCAUUCUGAUGUACAAGCCCUAUUGCUAUUACAACUGUAGAAAAUAUCAAGUGGAAAUCCUUUAAGAAAUUUGGAUAUUAUGACCAAAACAGAAAUACACUGAACCUAAAUACAAAUAUUUUAUUAUGCAGAAAGGGAGUCCAUGAAAUACUGUGUAUCCAAUAAUGUAAUUAUAAGUUGAUAAUUCGUAUUUUAUGGAUGACGUGCCAUAAUGCCAUAAAGCAGCGUAAAAAAAAAGAGCUAUUACAAGAUGUUUUCUUUACUUUUCACGCUUUUGUUGGUGGUCAGACUAUUAUGGUGACCCGACAGCGUUUGUCUCUGACUCUGGCCCCAGCAGCCAGAGCAGCCAAGAGGGCUCCUGUGUGUACCAUUCAGCUCAUCCUGGACCCAAAUGCAUGACUUUUGCUUUACAUUCAUCCCUCAUCCAAUGUACAAACAAAAAAUGUAUUGUAAAUGUGGUGUGCUUUUUUGCUUUCACCUUUUCAGUUCCAAAAAAGACAUCCACAUGAGUGCAAUGGGCAGAGGAGGAUUAAAGUUUCGUAGUUUGUGUGUUAGAUUUGUUGUUUCAUAGUUUAACCUGAGAAUAGAAAGAAAGGUUGUGAUUGUUACAAUAUGCUAUGUGAAGAAUGUUAUGUAUUUCAUUGCUCUGCCAGUGCUGAAUCCUACCGUUGCUGCCUAUGUAUGUGACUGUAUUGUCUUGUUAGUUUGAGGUUUUAUAGGCCAUAGUUAUAACAUGAUGUGUAACCAUCGAAUACUUUGACCGCGACCACCCCACUCCAGCCAAGGGAGACCCAUGUUAACAGGCAGACUUUGACUGGGUUGAUUUCAUACCCAGCCAAAGCGCCCAGAAGAGAAAGAGAUGGCAUGAUUCACUAUCUUAACCUAGCGCCAGAGGCAGAUCCCAACGCAUUUGCUUGACCUCGUAGUGUUAUCAUUAACAACAAAAAAUAUUCUCUCUGUGGUGUUGACUGUGACAGUUACACUGCUGUUGUACUACAAUUUCCACUCAUAAAAUAACACUGAAUCUAUAGACCAAAGGCAUGCACGGUAAUUCAUAAUAUAGCGGUCGCUGCAACUGGCCACGGAAAUCAUUGUUAAAUAAUAUUGCUUCCCCCCGGCUUAACCAAACUAAUUAUUAUGUCGGGGACAACAUAAAUAGGCCUAGUCAAUCAGACUUUGGGGCCGACAGACAAUGAUUAUUAAUUUCGGUCCAAGGCGGAAAUAUAUAACAAUGGAUGAAUCUUGCCGUCAGUAAACAGUCUCACUCUGCGCCUGGUCUGGUUGUUUUGUCCUCCUAAUGUGAGGGCUGCUGCUUACUGCAUUGCACUGAAACAGACUGUGAACUGUGUCGUAUACUAGCGCUUGUCCACAUCCACAUGCCUGGUGGUUGGCUUGUUCCCCUGUACCAAUCUAUUGCAGCAGACACUUCAUCCAUGCAAAGGGCUUAGAGACAUCGCAGCACAUUGGGGACUGAAUCCAGUACCCCCCCCCCCGAGCAUCAACCCCAGCAGAACCAUAUGGCCCAAACACUGCUAGCUACACAUGCAAGAAGGCUUUGCUUUAUGAGGAGUCCAAAGCCCCACCGGGCUCACUCCUAACUGCUGUAAUCUGUACCAUCGUGUUUUCUAAAAACACAAUGUUUUGUGUUUUGUGUGGAUCACAGAGCGGCACGGCGCUGCAGCCAACAGCGGUUCAAUUAAGAAAAUGAGCCUCGGCGUCGGCCAUUGUUGGGCCCAUGGGGCUUCCUCUUCUGCCUCCCUUGUUCGGUUUCGGUUUUAGCACCUCAAUGAAGGGCCGUGUGUCAGAACGGUAGAUGGUAAAAGCAGGCAGUGAGUUGAGGCUGCAGCAUAGAUUAUGUUCACUCUUCAUUGCCGCUCUGGCUGGUGCUACUGGUGUAUUAUAUACAGACGAUUCUCAUUGAGCACUUUAGUUAAUCACCCCCCACUACAGGCCAUCGCUCUCAUGACAUCACUUAAUACGCCUCGCACAGCACAGGCUGCAUCUGCCCUUGAAACUGGCUCAGAGCUGCUGAUGCUUCUGCUAUUGCUGCUGCACCAAAGGCUACGGCAUACUACAGGUUUUUAACACACAGUCAUACUCAUAAACCGGCCGUUUAACAAAAACACUGGCUUUCAGGCAUUCAGGACCUGUUGCAGACGAAUCAGCUGGAUCGGGUGAAGGUAGUUGUCCUCCGUUUCUACUUCGGGUUUUUCCAGUGCCAAGUAGGCAACUAUAUCUUAUGUGUGUGCCACAAUUAUGUGUCUUGAUAUCUAUAUCGAUUUAUAUAUAAGUUUAAAGAUAACAUGAGCGAUCUAAUAAAGUGAUUUAUAUAUGUUCCAUGCCCUUCCAAUGCCACCUCAUGUAUUUUUAAAGGACAUAACAUCCAUCCAUAAUGACGUGUUUCCCAGAAUUUAAGAUGUGCAGUGAAAAUUAAUAAAGUACUCAAAUGAUAUCUCUCACGUUUUGCCUGUCAAAUUGAUCCUGUCAAGGCUAAUAGCCUUUGCUACAUAUCUAUUAUCCUAUUUAUACAGAUAUCUAUUUUAAUAGCCGUUGAUCUGUUUGGAUAUAUCUGUCUAGUCAUUGGAAUGCUAGGAGUAUGGAUCAUUG